rnacentral:tRNA from 1 species
UCCCUCAUAGCUCAAUCAGUAAAGAAUCUGCCUUCAAUGCAGAAGAGCUGGGUUCAAUUCCUGGGUUGGGAA